GCAGAGUGUAGACAAGUGUUCCCUCCCUGGGCUGAUCAGUGCAGAGAUAUCUCACAAAGCCGCUUUAAGCAGAACCUUGACAAGGGUUACAUCACCUGUUUGAUCAGUGGAAAUAUAUAUCACAAAGCCCCCUGUAAGCAAAGCCCAGACAAUUUUUACAUCUCCUGAGUGAGCAUUGGAGAGAUCUGUCACAAUGCCCCUGUAGGCAGAGCUUGGACAAGUGUUACAUCACCUGGGUGAUCAGUGCAGAGAUAUGUCAAAACGCUCCUGUAGGCUGAACCUAGACAGGAGUUACAUCACCUGGGGGAUCAGUGCAGAGAUAUGUGAGAAUUCCCUUGUAGGCAGAGCCUAGACAAGUGUUACAUCACCUAGGUUAUCAGUGCAGAGAUAUGUGAGAAUUCCCGUGUAGGCAGAGCCUAGACAAGUGUUACAUCACCUAGGUUAUCAGUGUAAGUAUUAGUCAUAAAGCCUCCUGUAGGCAGAGCGUAGACAAGAGUUCCCUCCCCAGGGUGAUCAGUGCAGAGAUGUGUCACAAAGCCCCUGUAGGCAGAGCGUAGACAAGAGUUCCCUCCCCAGGGUGAUCAGUGCAGAGAUGUGUCACAAAGCCCCUGUAGGCAGAGCCUAGACAAGAGUUUCAUCACUUGGUUGAUCAGUUCAGAGAUGUGUCACAAUGUCCAUGUAGGCAGAUCUAAGACAAGGGUCCAUCACCUGGGUGAUCAGUGCAGAGAUAUGUACCAAUGUGCCCUGUAGGCAAAGCCUAGGCAAGAGUUACAUCACCUUUGUCAUCAGUUCAGGGAUAUGUGAAAACGCCCCUGCAGGCAGAGCUUAGACAAGAGUUACAUCACCUAGUUGAUCAGUGCAGAGAUAUUUCACAAUACCUCCUGUAGGCAGAUCCUAGUCAAGAGUUGCAUCACCUGGGUGAUCAGUGCAGAGAUAUUUCACAACGCCCCCUGUAGGCAGAGGGUAGACAAGAGUUACAUCACCUAGGUGAUCAGUGCAGAGAUUUGUCGAAAUUCCCUGUAGGCAGUGCUUAUAAAAGUGUUACAUCACCUAAGUGAUCAGUGCAGAGAUAUGUCACAAAGCUCCUGUAGGCAGAGCUUAGAUGAGUUACAUCACCUGGGUGAUCAGAGCAAAGGUAUGUCACAAAGCCCCCUGUAGGCCAAAGCCUAGACAAUAGUUACAUCACUUGGGUGAUCAGUGGCGAGAUCUCUCACAAUUCCCCUGUAGGCAGAGCUUAUACAACAGUUACAUCACCUGGGUGAUCAGUGCAGAUAUAUGUCACAAUGCCCCCAUAGGCAGAUCCAAGACAAGAGUCCGUCUCCUGGGUGAUCAGUGCAGAAAUACGUCACAAUGCCCCCUUAGGCAGAGCCUAGACAAAAGCCCCAUCACCUGGAUGAUUAGUGCAGAGUUAUGUCACAAAGUCCCUUUAGGCAGAUCCUAGACAAGAGUCCCAUUACUUGGGUGAUCAGUGCAGAGAUAUGUCACAAUGCCACUGUAGGCAGAGCCUAGACAAGAGUUACAUGACCUAGGUGAUCAGUGCAGAGAUACAUCGCAAUGCCCCUGUAGGCAGAGCCUUGACAAGUGGUACAUCACCUGGGUGAUCAUUGCAGGGAUAUGUCACAAAGCACCCUGUAGGCAGAUCCUAGAGAAGAGUUAUAUCACCUGGGUGAUCAGUGCAGAGAUAUGUCACAAGCCCCCUGUAGGCAGAGCCUAGACAAGAGUUAUAUCACCUGGGUGAUCAGUGCAGUCAUAUGUCACAAUGCUGUGUAGCCAGAGCCUAGACAAAAGUUACAGCACCUGGGAGAUCAGUGCAGAGAUAUGUCACAAUGUCCCCAGUAGGCAGAGACCAGGCAAGAGUUGGAUCACCUCGGGAUCAGUGCAGAGAUAUGUCUCAAUCCCCCUGUGGGCACAGCCUAGACAAGAGUUACAUCACCUCGGUUAACAGUGCAGAGAUAUGUCAAAAUGCCCCUGUAGGCAGAGCCUACACAAGUAUUACAUCACUUAGGUGAUCAGUGCAGAGAUAUGUCACAAUACCCCCUGUAAGCAGAGCCUAGACAAGAGUUACAUCACCUGGGUGAUCAGUGCAGACAUAUGUGACAAGGCCCCUUUAAGCAGAGCCUAGACAAUAGUUACAUCACCUGAGUGAUCAGUGCAGAGAUCUGUCACAAUGCCCCUUUAGGCAGAGCUUAGACCAGAGUUACAUCACCUGGGUGAUCAGUGCAGAGGUAUGUCACAUUGCCCCCAUAGGCAAAUCCAAGACAAGAGUCAGUCACCUGGGUGAUCACUGCAGAAAUAUGUGACAAUGCCCCCAGUAGGCAGAACCUAGAGAAGAGUCCCUUCACCUGGGUGAUCAGUGCAGAGUUAUGCCACAAUGCCCCCUGUAGGCAGAGCCUAGACAAGAGUUACAUCAUCUGGUUGAUCAGUAAAGAGAUAUUUCUCAAUGCCCCUGCAGGCAGAGCGUAAGCAAGAGUUACAUCACCUAGAUGAUCAGUGCAGAGAUACGUCACAAGGCCCCCUAUAGGCAGAGCCUGGACAAGAGUUACAUCACCUCGGUGAUCAAUGCAGUGAUAUGUCACUGUGCCCCGUAGGCAGAGCCUAGUCAAGCGUUACAUCACCUGGGUGAUCAGUGCAGAGAUAUGUCAGAAAGCCCCCAUACACAGAGCCUAGACAAGAGUCCCAUCACCUGGGUGAUCAGUGCAGAAAUAUGUCACAAUGCCCCUAUAGGCAGAUCCAACACAAGUGUUACAUCACCUGGGUGAUCAGUGCAGAAAUAUGUCUCAAUGCCCCCAUAGGCAGAUCCAACACAAGAGUUACAUCACCUGGGUGAUCAGUGUAGAGAUAUGUCACAAUGCCCCCGUAGACAGAGCCUAGACAAAAGUCCCAUCACCUGGGUGAUCAGUGCAGAGAUAUGUCACAAAGCCCCUGUAGGCAGAGCCUAGACAAGAGUUACAUCACUUUGUUGAUCAGUUCAGAGAUGUGUCACAAUGCCCAUGUAGGCAGAGCCUAGACAAGUGUUCCAUCACCUGGGUGAUCAGUGCAGAGAUAUGUGACAAGGCCCCUUUAAGCAGAGCCUAGACAAUAGUUACAUCACCUGAGUGAUCAAUGCAGUGAUAUGUCACUAUGCCCCAGUAGGCAGAGCCUAGUCAAGCGUUACAUCACCUGAGUGAUCAGUGCAGAGAUAUGUCACAAAGCCCCCAUACACAGAGCCUAGACAACAGUCCCAUCCCCUGGGUGAUCAGUGCAGAAAUAUGUCACAAUGCCCCCAUAGGCAGAUCCAACACAAGAGUUACAUCACCUGGGUGAUCAGUGUAGAGAUAUGUCACAAUGCCCCCAUAGGCAGAGCGUAGACAAAAGUCCCAUCACCAGGGUGAUCAGUGCAGAGAUAUGUCACAAAGCCCCCAUAGGCAGAGCCUAGACAAGAGUUACAUCACUUGGUUGAUCAGUUCAGAGAUGUGUCACAAUGCCCAUGUAGGCAGAGCCUACACAAGUGUUACAUCACUUAGGUGAUCAGUGCAGAGCUAUGUCACAAUACCCCCGUAAGCAGAGCCUAGACAAGAGUUACAUCACCUGGUUGAUCAGUGCAGAGAUAUCUCACAAUGUCCCUGCAGGCAGAGUGUAGACAAGAGUUACAUCACCUAGAUGAUCAGUGCAGAGAUAUUUCACAAUGCCCCCUGUAGGCAGAGCCUAGACAAGAAUUAUAUUACCUGGAUGAUCAGUACGGUGAUAUGUCACUAUGCCCCCUGUGGGCGGAGCCUAGACAAGAGUUACAUCACCUGGGUGAUAAGGGCAGAGAUAUGUCACAAUGCUCCAGUAGGCAGAGCCUAGACAAGAGUCCUAUCACCUGGGUGAUCAGUGCAGAAAUAUGUCACAAUGCCCCCAGUAGACAGAGCCUAGACAAGAGUUACAUCACCUGGGUGAUCAGUGCAGAAAUAUGUUGCAAUGCCCCCAUAGGCAGAUCCAACACAAGAGUUACAUCACCUGGGUGAUCAGUGCAGAGAUAUGUAACAAUGCCCCCAGUAGGCAGAGCCUAGAGGAGAGUUACAUCAUCUGGGUGAUCUUUGCAGAGAUAUGUCACAAUCCUCCAAGUAAGCAGAGCCUAGACAAAAGUUACAUCAUCUGGGCGAUCAGUGCAGAGACAAGUCACAAAACCCACAUAGGAAAAGACUAGACAAGAGUUACAUCAUCUGGGUCAUCAGUGCAGACAUAUGUCAAAGCUGCCGUAGGCAGAGUGUAGACAAGUAUUACAUCACUUGGGUGAUCAGUGCAGAGAUCUAUCACAGUGCCCCCAUAGGCAGAGCCUAGACAAGAGUUCCAUCACCUGUGUGAUCAGUGUAGAGAUAUGUCACAAUGCCUCCUGUAGGCAGAGGCUAGACAAGAGUUACAUCACCUGGAUUUUGUUUCCUGCAAUAUGUCACAAUGGCGAGGGUGAGGGUUAGGGUUAGGGUGAGGGUCAGGGUGAGGGUCAGGGUGAGGGUCAGGGUGAGGGUGAGGGUCAGGGUGAGGGUGAGGGUUAGGGUUAGGGUGAGCAUUAGGUUUAGGGUUAGGGUUAGGGUUAGGGGUUAGGCUUAGGCUUAGGGUAAGGCUUAGGGUUCAGGUUCAAGUUUGGAUUCGGGUUCGGGUUCAGGUUAAGAGUUAGGGUUAGGGUUACGGGUUAGGGUUAGGGGUUAGGGUUAGGUGUUAGGGCUGGGUUAGGUUUAGGGUUAGGGUUAUGGGUUACGGUUAGGGUUAGGGUUUAGGGUUAGGGUUAGGGUUAGGAUUGGGGUUAGGUUUAGGGUUAGGGUUAGGGUUAGGUUUAGGGUUGGGUUAGGGUUAGGAUUGGG
rnacentral:lncRNA from 10 species